rnacentral:rRNA from 1 species
GUCCACGCCCUAAACUAUGUCAACUGGUUGUCGGGGAAGAAAUUCCUUGGUAACGAAGCUAACGCGUGAAGUUGACCGCCUGGGGAGUACGGCCGCAAGGUUAAAACUCAAAGGAAUUGACGGGGACCCGCACAAGCGGUGGAUUAUGUGGAUUAAUUCGAUGCAACGCGAAAAACCUUACCUACCCUUGACAUGUACGGAACCUCACAGAGAUGUGAGGGUGCUCGAAAGAGAACCGUAACACAGGUGCUGCAUGGCUGUAGU